NNNNNNNNNNNNNNNNNNNNNNNNNNNNNNNNNNNNNNNNNNNNNNNCCGGGGAGCAGGGGAGGGGGAUGGGGCGGGGGGAGCUGGCCCACUUCUGGCGGCCCUUACUUCGAGAUGUUUUCAAUUAUAAUUUUUUAAAAAGUCUGCUUUGUGGGUUCGGGGCUUUUAAAUUCUUCCCACACCCCUCUCUCCCGUUAAACCCGUUGGACCAAACUUGAAUGGGGUUUUCCCUCCGUUUCCCCUCUACCGAUUGCGCUCCAAACCCACACUUUGCUGCUCACAGCUGGGGGUGGGGUAGCUUUCACUGCACGGGUCACCACCCCAAAACCCAGGACCCCCUCAAAUCAGGACUGUGGUCUGGUCCCUGGGCCUGGGCUUGAGCUUGGGAAAGCAAGGCUGGUGGUGGGGUCGGAAACGUCGGAUUCUGUAACGCCCCCCCCCCGCAUCUCCCCAGUCCCAGGGGAGGGUUCUUCCUGGCGGGGUUGGGGGAUGCCUGGAGAUGGAUAUAGGGUCCUGAGGAGGUACGGGGUGGAUGCCCGCCAAACGUAGGGAGGCUCAAAGGGAUAAGGGGACGACGGGGGCAGCAGCUGACAGGUUCUUGGGAAAACAAGCCCCAUGGCCCUUCAGAUUUCUGCUUCGGAUCUCUGUGCACAGACAUCCUAUUCCGCGCGAAGCAGCCUGAGCCCAAUACCUGCCUCCAGCUCUUGCAAAAAAAUAAAAACAAAAGCCCUAGCCCUGCGAAGUGCAUUCUGCUGGGAGAGGUGGGGGAGCCAGCGGCAAGUCCACACCGGGCAGGCUGCGCGCAGCGCGGGAGCCCCCGGGGCUGGGGCCGGCGGCGGGGGGCGGUGAGUGUGUUGGGGGCGUCAAACAUUCCCAGAACUCAAGUAUGCUCCCGGCGCCCGUUGGGGCGGGGGCAGCGGCCGAGGAUGCCCAAGUUCGGAGCAACACUGCCCCCUAGGGGCCGCCGCCGGAGGUUCGCAGCCGGGGCGGGCAGGGGCCUUGAGUGACCCUGCAUGUGACUUCAGGAACCUGUCUUGCUUCCUGGCCUCAUACAAGUUGUGACCCUGGGUCCUUCCAGGCCUUGGGGAUACUGAAGUGAACGAGAAGACCACUUUCUUCAGCAGAGAGCUCACAGACCACAGCAAACACAACCAGCAUGGUCAUAUUAGAUAUAAUAAUUGUUGAUGGAAUGUGGUCUUUUUUUUUUUUAAAGGAUUUUAUUUAUUUGUCAGAGAGAGAGAGAGAGAGAGCGAGAGCGAGAGCAAGAGAGCGCACAAGCAGGCAGAGGCAGAGAGAGAAGCAGGCUCCCGGCUGAGCAAGGUACCUGAUGUGGGACUGGAUUUCAGGACUCUGGGAUCCUGACCUGAGCUGAUGGCAGCAGCUUAACUAACUGAGCCACCUAGGUGUCUCUGGAAUCUGGUCUUAAAAGGAUCCUCAACCCAGCCCAGGGGUGGGGCGGGGAUGGGUGGGAAUCAGGAAGUCUCCCUGAAGGAGGUGAUUCUCGUGCUGAGUCCUUAGGGGAGGGCUAGGAAUUGGAGGACUAAGAAUUGGAGGACUAGGAUACACGGAGGUGAAGAGGAAAGACAACUCAGGGGGAGACAAAUGACAUGAAUGAGCAUCAGGGUGGGCAGGCACAGCUCGUGAGAGGAUGCCCCAUAAGGAAUCUGGAAGACUGCCUAGCUGAAGGGUAAGAGUGUAGGGCAGUGGGGGAGAGCUUUAAUUGGGGAGGGAGCCAAACCCAGAGGGUCCAUGCCUGUGUUAGGGAGCAGGGGAGGGUUCUGAGCCCUGGGCUGGACUGCAUGCUGGGAACGCCCGCCCUCUUGCAACCAGGCCCUGGCAAUGCAGAAAUGACUACUUUUAUUUACUCAGCCCUGCUUAUUUCCUGCCUCUUUCCACAGAGGAUCUGAACGGAUCUAAAGAAAAAUCAGAUAUGGUUCUUGCCUUCAAGGAGCUCGUAGGCUGGGAUAGAUAAAAAAUAAACUGGGUCAAACAGAAUGAAGAAAGCACAGUGAGAACUUUGUGAAAUAUACACCUAAGUGUCCCUGUUCAUCGUGCCCUCAGGGCAAGCCCUCCUCCUUUGCAUGGCACUUAGGCUCCCCUCCCCUGCACCCUUCCCACUCCUUUCCCUCUAACCAGCUGUUAUCUGCGGCUCCCCUGAUGGACCACAUUCUGUCUAGCCAUCAGACAGGGUCCCAUACUGUUUGCUUUGCCUGGAAUCCUACUUCCCAGCUCCCAGGCCUCUUGCCCCUUCUUCAUUCACUGCUGUUUUUUUUUUUUUCCAGAUGUCACUGAGGCUCUCCCUCCCUCUUGAAAGCCCUCUAUGGCCCCCAAAGCUGGGCUGGGCUCCUCCCUUCUUUAUUCCAGUACCCAUCCCAGCAUGGCUGAAUAAUCCACAGGAGACUGGUAGCUGCCAACUCUGACUGACCCAGGGGUCUCCAGGUCGUCCACAACCAGGGCUCAGACUGGAUGCUUAGUUGUUUUUGUUGUUGAGAAUAGUAGUACUAGACUUUUACUGUCUGCCUGCUGUGUGCCAGGCACUGUGUUCGCCUCUUGUCGCCUGUUACUUUUUUCCUUUACAGCAACCCUCUAAGGUUGUCAUCACCCUGUUUUGUAGGUGGGGAAACUAAGACUCGGAGAAGGGAAAUGAUUAUCCAAACCAUGAGGGUAUUUGUCAAAACUCAUUGACUUUACAUGCAAAUGAUACCUCAAUUUUCUGAAAAUGAAAAAAGAGAACUACCAUAGCAUUUCAUAUUUCUUAUGUCUGAAAAAACUCUGAGAAAUAGUCAGCUUUUAUUACAAAAGGGAAAAAAAAGAGAGGGCCUAGUUGACUUGAGGCAGGGCUAGAACUUGACCCAUGUGGCCUAGUCCUAAGCUCUUGUUGGUCCUACCACUUUCAGUCCACUAACUAAGCCAUCUGGGGGGCCCCAAUAAGGCUUCCCAGAAAUAAGUGCUCCUUCUAGGGCAUGGGGGUUCCACUGGCAGAGAACACCUAAAAGGAGGUGUUCAAGGUGGCUGUGAAAGUCCACGGCAGGUCAAAGCCAGAGGCUCAGGGUGACAUGGUGCCAGGGUUGGAAGGAUGUAGGGGGGUCAUGGGAGGCGAGGCUACCUUGGUCAGCUGGGUCUGAUGGGAGAAGGCCUUGACCACCUGGACAAAGUGGGCCUUGGAGUACAGGUGAUAGGAGCCAUUGACUCCUAGCUUUGAGCUUCUCUUGGAGGGAUCUGUCCUUUGGGGGUUGGUGAGGGGUGAUGGUUGCUGGCCAGUGGGGCUGGGUUUGGAGGGACUGGCACUGGGGGCAAGGCUGGGGGGAAUCCCAAGGCGUGGAGGUAUCCAGAAGAAAGGCAAAGUCUGAAGAGGAAGCUGGGGUUUGAGUGUCAGCCGCCCAGCAGACACCCCAAGGCCAUAGAACCCGACAGAGGAGCAAGGCUGGGCUCAUGGAGCUGAAUUCAGAGUUCAGCAGAACUGGAAUUGGGGUGAGCUUGGGCUGGGCAGGGGGAGGGGAGCACCAAUCCUAGGCCUGGGAUCCAAACCUGAUACUUCCCCUGAUUCCUGCAGCCAUGUGAUGUUGGAUAGCAUCACAGCCUCAGUUUUCUCAUCUGAAAAAAAAUGGGGAUAUUAGUGAUCCCUACUUCAAGGAAGAGUCUAGAGAAUAAAUGAGAUGAUACAUACAAAGCUCUUCAUACUGUGCCUGCCUCAUAGUAAAUACAUAAGGUAUGUUGGAUUUGUCUCCCUCUUCUUAACUGCCCCUGCCCCCUAUUCAGUCCCCUCUCCCGGGAGCUUCUUUCCCAGAGCACCCACUUCACCCCAAUGAAGCCCACAGCACGUAUCAUUGUGAGAAAAAGAGUGUGGUUUUGGGUGCUAGAGGUGGCACUCUGGAUCUUUCAUUUCACCCCCCUACUCACCACUACGUGUCUGAAGAUUCUCCUGUUGCUGGAUCGUUUCCUCAGUGGACACCCACCAUGUUUUCACAUUCACUCUUCUGGUGAAGACAUCUGUGUCGUCCCUGAUGUCUUCUUCUCACAAAUAAUUCCUUGAAAAAACACCCUUGUCAGUGUGUCCCUGGGGAUGCUGGGGUGGCUUAGUCGAUUGAACGUCCCAUUCCUGAUAUCAGCUCAGGUCAUGAUCUCAGGGUCACGGGAUGGAGCCCCAGGUCAGGCUCCGUGCUCAGCGGGGAGUUUGCCUGAGUUCUGUCUCCCUCUUUCUCAUCUCCUUCCCCCACACAUCUGCUUGUGCUCUCUCUAAAUAAGUAAAUAAACAAAUAAAUAAAAAUCUUAAAUUAAAAAAAAAACGUGUUCCCAGACACAGAUGUGUUGUCUUGUGGAUCUGUGUGAUAAUUUUCCUGGGAUAUCCAGGGGACAACUGCUGUGUUAUGGGACACAC
ensembl:lincRNA